rnacentral:lncRNA from 1 species
UUAGGUCCGGAGCAAAAGAAGAAACAGUCCAAAGACCGGAGAAGAAAUAGUGAAGAAAUGAAGAAACCAACGAAGGAAGACCAGAGCGGAUAAUAGUAAUACAGCGGUAAAGAAAUUAAACACGUCGUACAGGCCAGCCGUACUGGACAGGGAUUCAGUGAGUCACAAUGUAACUUACCUCCUCCAUCCAUUUCUCCAAAGCUUUAUUUAGGCCUUGUUUAGUUCCAAAAAAUUUCAACAUUUUCCGUAACAUCAAAUCUUACGGCAAAUGCAUGAACCAUUAAAUAUAGAUAAAAAUAUAACUAAUUGCAUAGUUACCUGUAAUUUACGAGAGGAAUCUUUUGAGCCUAGUUAGUCCAUGAUUAGACAAUAAUUGUAAAAAAACGAAAGUGCUACAGUAGCCAAACUCAAAAAUUUUCGCGAACUAAACAAGGCCUUAGUUCCCAAAAUUUUUUGUAAAAUUUUAAAAUUUUCAUAUUCUUUGUUACAUCGAAUCUUACGAUACACGCAUAAAGCAUUAAAUAUAGAUAAAAAAUAAUUAAUUGCAUAGUUUGUUUGUAAUUUGCGAGCCACUAAAUCUUUCGAGGCUAGUUAGUCCAUGAUUGGAUAAUAUUUGUCAAAUACAAACGAAAAUGCUACAGUGUCUAUUUUGUAAAAAAAAAUGGAACUAAAUAAGGCCCAAAUCAGAUCCAACCCUUCACAUGAGACUUGUUGUUUUUUCGGAUAUAGAUAGCAUAUAGCAGCAUAAUUCAUAGCUUCAAAAAAGAAAAAAAACAAUAAUUCAGGUCCAUAAUUCAGAUGGACAUGUAGAUAGCAGCUUAUCAAAGCACAAUCAAACACAAGUCCAAUCAUAGACUAACUAGGCUUAAAAGAUUCAGUGGCUCGCAAAUUAUAGACAACUGUAUAAUUAAUUAUUUUUUAUUUAUAUUUAAUGUUUUAUGUAUGUACCGUAAGAUUCGAUGUAAUGGAGAAUAUAAAAAAUUUAAAAUUCUACAAAAAAUUUCGAAACUAAACAAAGUCUUGAAGAAAUAGAUAGAGGAGGUAAGUUACGUCGUGACUUGCUCAAGGCAAGUCACCCAAUCCCUGUCCAGCCGUACUAUUGUGCGUAUUGUUCGUAACAGAGGACAAAACAGUUCGGCGGUUCAACCAGUAGCAGAUCAAAGCAUAGACUAUAGCCAAUUCACUUACUAUCCAUACAAUCAAACCGGAAAAACUCUAAAUUAUUUCAAAAUAUUUCAUAUUUUUCAUAUAAACUCUAAAUUAGAAAAAUAAAAUAUCCAUUUUGAUUAUUUUGACUAGGAUUUUGCAAUGGUACACUCUAUUUCGAUAUUUGAUAUUUGUUCACAAUGGUGAAUUUUUUAAUUAAUAUCCAAGUCCUGUUUGCA